rnacentral:rRNA from 1 species
UACGAAGGGGGCUAGCGUUGCUCGGAAUCACUGGGCGUAAAGCGCACGUAGGCGGGUUUGCUAAGGUCAGGGGUGAAAUCCUGGAGCUCAACUCCAGAACUGCCUUUUGAUACUGGCGGCCUUGAGUCCGGGAGAGGUGAGUGGAACUGCGAGUGUAGAGGUGAAAUUCGUAGAUAUUCGCAAGAACACCAGUGGCGAAGGCGGCUCUCUGGGACGGUACUGACGCUGAGACGCGAAAGCGUGGGGAGCAACAGGG